AUCCAACUGACAAGUCCAAAAUAGGAUGGAACGCGCAUCCUGGAU
rfam:Schistosoma curassoni strain Dakar, Senegal genome assembly, scaffold: SCTD_scaffold0001061